rnacentral:rRNA from 1 species
AGGUGAUAUAUUGAAAAUUGGUAUAUGAAAUUAAUAUUAUUUUAAGGAUAAUUAAUCAAAAUUUUAAAUAUGAUAUAAAGAUAUAAAAUAUCAAUCAUAAUCAUGAAAAUGAGAAAAAGAAAAACUAAUGGAAUGAAACAUCUGAGUAAUUAGUAAAAUAACCAACAGGGAUAAUAUAAGUAACGGUGAGUGAAAAUAUUAAAAUCUUAAAGUAUUACCAUGUGGUAAGAAUAUAGUAGUUUCCAACUUCUAAGAAUAUAAAUAAAAUUUUAGAUUAAAGUACUGUAAAGGAAAAUUAUGAAAUAGAAUAAUAAAGAGCAGUCAUAGUAUGGCGUACCUCUUGUAUAAUGGGCCAGUGAGUUAUAUAAUUUAGUGAAAAAGAGAUUUUUAAAUAUAAUUAGAUUCUUAAUUAAAUUAUAUAGGCCCGAAAGCAAACGAUCUACACAUGUCCAAGUGUAUAUUUAACUUAUUUUAAGUUUAUAUAUGACUCAAUAGGUAAUUGUAGCAAUAAUUUCUAAAGAGGUGUGUGUAGUUGUGACAGACAAAUCUGGUUUGCAGAUAGCUGGUUUUCUGCGAAAUAUAUUUUAGUAUAGCCUUUAUUUUUUUUUAAACUGGUACAGCACUUAAAUAACUUUGGGGAAUUUGAAUAAAAUUUUAUCAAAAUAUUUAAACCUCGGAAUCAGUUAAUAAUUAAGAUAAGGAGUCAGACUUAUUGCGAUAAGGUAGUAGGUCGAGAAGGAAACAACCUAGACUAUUAAAUGUAUGUCCCAAAUAUUAAUUAAGUGAACAAAAUCUAUCCUAUUUAAACGUAUAAUAUACGGGGAAUUAAAUUAAAGACAAUUAGUAAGUGGGUUUGACAAUAAUCAACUUUUAAUGAACAUGUAACAAUGCACUAAUUUUAUAUAUAUAUAUAAAUAUAUAUUUAUUAAUAAUAGAGAAAAUAUACGGGUCUAAAUUAAUAACAGUAUUAUAGAUAUAAUAAAAGUUAUAUGGUAGCAGAAUAUAUAAUGUAAAAAUUAUAAAGAGAUUGCUGGCUUGAGUAACGAUAGAUAAUAUAAGAUUAUCCCCUUAUUCAUAAGGUUUUACUAUAAACGAACGGUCCCUAAGAUGAAUAUAGAAAUAUAAAAUUAAUGGGUGAAAGAACAAGAAAAAAAGAAUGAACCGUACUGUAAACCGACACAGGUAUGAUAAUAAAGGGAAUGGGAUAACUACUUUGAAUGAACUCGGCAAAAUAAAUCGUGCGACUGUUUACCAAAAACAUAGCUUAUUGCAUACUAGUAAUAGUAAGUAUAAUAAGUGAUAUCUGCCCGGUGUUAGUUUAAUAAAUAUAAAUAUUUAAUAGAUAUUUUUAUAAAAAACUGAUAAACGGCGGUCUUAUUGUGAGGAUCCGAAGGUAGCGGUGCGACAAGAAGUUCGUAUUAAGAAUGUGGUGUAAUUCCACUAAUAACAAUCGUAUUUAUUAAAUCUAUCUUAACAUGCAUUAUGAGUAAUUAUUUUGUAUGAAGCUUAAGAGACAAAAGAUGAUAAACUUUAACUGAUAUAAGUGAAUUCAUCCAGAUUAGAAUGACAUGAUUAGUAUAUCAAAACAGUGGAUUAAAAUUUCGUUAAAAGGAAAAUAACAAGAUCAGUAGGGUUAUAAAUAUGACUAGAAAGUAAAUCAUCGCUGCUGAUUUCUUUAUACGAUUGAAAUAAUAAUAAAGGUCAUCGGAAUAUAGCUGUAAUCUAAAUCAUUCAAUAAAAGUCUUAAUACGGGAACUUGGUAAACCUUUAACAUCCCUAUUCUAUUAUAUAGUAUAGGAAGUAAUAUAUAAAAUAAUUUAGUUGAUUAUGGAAAUUGUUAUAUAGUGUUGAAGGUAAAGGAUAAACAGAAAAAGCGAAAGGUUUUAUGUAAUAUAAAACAUAUAGAUAUAUAUCUAAUUUCGAAAGAAAGCAGACUUCUGUAUAAGGCUAAUAGAUCAAAAUUGUAAUUUACUCUACAUUUUAGCAUUUAAUUUCAUAAUAAACUUAGAUGCAUAUUAAUAUAAGAGAUGGUAUAUAUUAAAAUACCAAAUGAAAAUAGCGACAGCAAUAAAUAAUAACGAUAUAAAAAAGAUGAAAGCUUUACAGAGAAUUUUAAUAGGAAAUCACAAAAUGAUAUUAUCAACAUAAGGAAGUAAAACUCCAGGUAUAGAUAAUUACAUAAUUAAAGAUGAAAUAGAUAUUCAUUAUCUAUAUAAGUUUUUAAGCAAUAUUAAUGGAUAUAAAGCAUACCCUGUUAAGAGAAUAGGAAUACCUAAGGUUAAUGGUAAAACAAGAUAUCUAGGUAUAUCUAUAAUUCAAGAUAGAUGUAUGCAAAGCUUAUUUAAAUUAGCUUUAUACCCAUAUUCUGAAGUAAUAGCGAAUUAUACUUCUACGAUAAAUUAGAUAAUGGUAAAUUUAUAUGGUUAUAUGAUAUAAAAUCAGUAAAGAUUAAAUAUAUUAAUAACCCAGUUUUAAAAUUAAGAAAAACUAAAGGUAGAAACUUGAGUAAAUCGAAAUUAUUGGAUGUUGGUAGAUUGAAAACAAAUCAGUCUAUUUCUAUAGUUUGAGCCGUGUGCGAUGAAAGUCGCACGCACGGUUCUAGAGGGGGGAAAGUCUGAAAGGACCUACCUAUCCUAACAAAUUCAUUGACGUAUAAUUGACGUCCUGCAUGAAUGAAUAAACGAUGCGAUAACUGUAUCCAAAGUAGACUCAGUGAAAUAGCAAUUGCGGUGACUUUUUGUACUAUAUCAGUAACCUCCCUAAAAUUUAAGGGGGAUUAUUUUAGAUAUUUUAUGCCGGGUUGGUGAAAAUCCAACUUUAUAAUAAAUUUAAUAUUAAAAUAAGAAUACAAUCGAAUAAUAUUAUUACCUUUAAUUAAAGGAUAAUUUACAUAAGGCAAUAUGUAUCUUAUAAUUAUUAUAAAUAAAUGGUGAAAACGGUUAAUGACAUCUUAGUUAAAGACCGUCGGCAGUUGUAUAUGUCGCUACAGACUGGUUCACCGAGGUUAGACUGAAAUGUCUGUCUAAAUGUACAGUCGAAUUCUGUAAUAUAUAUAUAUAUAGAGGUGAAAGAUAUAAAUCUAAUAAAUAUGGAUUUAAGCUUAUUAGUACAUAAGUAAUAAACCUUUAUGAGUCAAACUCAUUUAAGUUAAUCAGAAUUGGAAGAUGCCGUAUAUCCGUAGGUUGACAAAAAGACCCUAUGCAGCUUUACUAUAUCUUUAUUUUGAUUUAUAAACCUUAGUGGUUUUCCUUUUUUUAUUUAUUUCAGUAGAUUAGGUAAUAUUUAUAUUUUAAAUAAAAUGAGAUACCUAUAUAAAUGAAAAAAGAAUCUAAUUAAUAUAACUUAAGAAAGAGUAAAGAGGUUAGUUUCGAUGGGGCGUCGACAUCAGCGAAAGCAUCUGAUGUGUCUAAUAAUAAUGGUUUUAUAUAAAACAAGAUAUUUAAUUAAAUUAUUUAUUUAAUAGUAAAUUACGUACAAUAAUUCUAUAUGGUAAAUAGAAAAGAUUAUAAGUAAGGAUAACAACAUAAUUGUGCGAUGAUAAUGACACAAACAAGUGAAAUUAGUACAUAAGUAGAGUGUAGUGAACAGGCAUAAACAAAUGGUAUGGAUGUCGAUAACGAAUUAAAGUUACGCUAGGGAUUAAAUGUUAGUUCCUUUAUAUAGAAAUAUAUAUAUAUCUCCGCGUUAGUGAGAUAACUUUUUUAUUAAAGUAUAUAAAUUGGGUGAAUUACAAAGAUCUCUUAUUAAUAAGACAAUUUGUAGCGAAAUAUAUAUUAGUUUUUAUAGAUAUAUAAACGUUCAACGACUAGUGAUUGAGUAAACUAACAAUAAUAUCACCACGAGUGCCCAAUACCUAAAUUUUUAGGUAAAGACAUAGUCUGAACUAUAUAGUAAUAUAUAGAAGUUGUAAAUUAAAAAACCAACGAUAACAAAAUUGAACAGGGUAAUACCGCGUGAGAGUUGAUAUCGUCAGCGGUGUUUGCCACCUCGAUGUCGUCUAGACUCGUCCUCCUGGUAGCAGCAACUAGGUAGGGUAGGACUGUUCGUCCUCUAAGGAGUUACUUGAGAUGGGUUAAUUACGACGUGAGUCAGUAAUGAUUUUAUCAUCUAUGGAUUUAAACUUUUCUGUUGCCUUAAGUGUACGCAAGGAUAAUAAGGUACUUUCCUAUGGUUAAUUUAUAUUUAGCUAAGAAUGUUGUGUUUACAUAUUGAAUGCAUAUCAAAUAUUAAAUCCUUCAGAAAAGUUUUUUAAACAUUAUAGAUUAUAAUGUAUUAGUUAAUUUGUAUUUUUUGCAAUUAAACUAAUUUUUUUUAAUUCAUAUACCU